ensembl:snoRNA SNORD58 Small nucleolar RNA SNORD58
CGGCCGUGAUGAUUAUUUAGGACACCUUUGAUUCUACUUGAAGAUACAAUGAUAUCUGAGCCGU